rnacentral:rRNA from 1 species
AUGAAUAUCGCCCUCCUCUCCCGCUGGCUUUGGCGAAUCUCGCAAGGGCACGGUGGACUUUGGCUUGACAUCAUCCGGAACAAGUACUUGUGUAGACAGCCCCUCGCCUUUUGCCAAAAGUCGGGAGGCUCUCAGUUCUGGCAGUCGAUUGUCCAGCUUCUUCCGGUUCUCCGUAUCGGGACCUCCAUAUCGGUGGGCUCUGGGGCUUCGACACUGUUCUGGUUUGAUCGUUGGGCUGGGGACACCCCCUUCGCGGCUCGCUUCCCGGGCCUCUUCUCCAUCGCUGUCGACCCGGUGAUCUCUAUUGAUAGGGCCCUUCUUGACUUAGGGCGCCUUGCCUUCCGGAGGGCCUUUGGCCCCAUGGAAUCCGCCGCCUGGUGUGAGUUGCUUGACUGUGUUGCUCUCCACGAACCGUUGGUGGAUGGCAACCCUGACCUGGUGCGAUGGCGCCUUGAGCCUUCAGGACAAUUCUCCACCAAGUCGCUGUACACGGUCAUCGCCCCAUCCGCCGCCCCCCUCCCCCUAUCGAUGGUUUGGUCCAUCUGCCUGCCACUGAAGAUCCGCAUCUUCAUGUGGCAAUGGAUUCACGGUCGGAUCCCGUUAGGGGUUGAGGUGCGUAAGUGA